rnacentral:lncRNA from 1 species
GAGCUCUUGUCUACCAGCAGGAAAACUACUUUCUUCAUUUGAUCCUCUUUGGGUUUCGUAGGUAUGGAUGUCAUGGCAACAAAAUCAAUAAAAGUUAUCGUCCAUAACCUAAAGGAUCAGCAUGGUGUUGGUGAACUGUUAAACAAGGGUUAGUGUUUGAAGUCUUCAACUUCAUUCCCAGACUCAUGUUUUGAGGAUUCUUCUGGGCUACCUGGCUCAGACAGGGAGAGUCCACUACUUAUACAGAGCUGCUGCAGUUCAUGCUGGGAGGGAUGCAGAGCCACGUGGACAGCAGCAUAGUGUGUGAGGCAUGGUGGUGGGGGAGUGUCUCCGCUCCUGCAUGGACAUCAACAGAGUCAAAUUCAAGGUACAGUAUGGCACCAUACCCAAUGUUUUGGGUGCAUCAAUAGUCUGAAGUGGCUCACUGUCACUAUUCUGUUUUCUGCUCAUACUGAUCUGAAUGAACUGGACAGGUGAAAACAAAUAACAUAAUGCUUUCACCUAUCUGCUGUUCAGAUCAGUGCAAAUGAAAGAAAGGAGAAGAUGGAGGAAGCCACUGUAGACUGAGGUGCACCCCUACAGUAGGCUAUAACUGCCUUGUUAUGAGUCCUCUGUAGGACACAGGGAAGGAUGUGUUCAGUGUUUCUUUUCCUCAGGAUGAGGAGACCAAGGAGCUGCUCUCACUGAUGAAUCCACUGUCUAAUGAAGAAACAGAUUUGACCUUGAGGAAGAUCCAAGGGCAGACUGUACCCUCUAAGGCAAUACCAACCCAGGUUGCUUCUGUGGCCCAGAAAUCAGGAGCGGACCCAGACUCAAGCGUAGGGCAUUAUCAUAAUCAAACCUAUAACACAAUACCGCUUCUUAUACACUACAUUUAUUAACAAUGUUGCCUGUGAAUCUGAAGUUCUUUUUCAUUGAAAUCAUUACAGCUUAAUGAAUCUUCCCACGGGAACUUAAGCAUGGUGUAGGACUCGCCAGCUUGUAGUCCUAAAAAACAGAAAUGAGUUACCUCUGGUUUGUUCAGCCAUUCCUGUGGGGAAAGAAUAGGGUUUUGGGUUAAAUGCCAAAAAUAAGGUCUGAGGUCAACACAGGUGGAGGUCUUAUACGUUUUGUUCUAUGAGAUAAUCAGUCAGUUAACAUCACCUUUAUAAAUUGAAGCCUUUGUGUCUAUAAUGAUUACAUAAAUGCUUCAAUAUUCACAGUGACGUUGGCUGAAAGAUUCUCAUAACAAAACAUAAGAUCUCCUAAGCCUGUGUUUACCACCAACCUUCUGCUCUGCAUUUAUACAAAAAUGCCAUUAAUUUCCCCAUAGAGUGGAGAUAGAAAUUGUCUCUUUGUAGGCUCUAUCUCUAUAGUAGUGUUGUAUUAAUUAGGCUCUCUGUCUCUGUCCUGUGUGUAUGAACCAGUGAUGAUUCGAUCACUCCCUAUGAUAUAUCCCUACGGGCAGGGCCGUUAUUGGCAGGCCUUAGGGGGCGUGGCCCGCCCUACUGUACCUCCUUGCCCAUCCAAAUAAAAUACUGAUCAUUUACAGUGCCUUCGGAAAGUAUUCAGACCCCUUGAAUUUUCCCACGUUUUGUUAUAGCCUUAUUAAAAAAAAAUUAUUAAAUUGUUAAUCCCUCCCACCCCCCUCAAUCUAAACACAAUACCCCAUAAUGGCAAAGAGAAGAAAAAAACAGGGUUCGAAUUUUUUGCUAAUUUAUUAAAAAGAAACUGAUAUCACAUUUACAUGAUCAUCCAAGAUGGCAUAGUCAGACGUCCUUGUCUUGCCGUGUCUCGUGUGUGUAUAUAUAAAUAAGAUAUGCGAAGAAAAAUAUUGACAUUUUUCUUCGCAUAUCUUUUUAUUUUUCUAAACACUCGACUUAAAAACACUCUCCUGCAACCUGCCUCACCAAUUGUUUAACUUUUAUGGGCUAGGUGGGACGUUUGCGUCCCACCUAGUCAACAGCCAGUGGAAUUGCGUGGCGCGAAAUACAUGCCUCAAUGCUAUAACUUAAAUUUUUCAAACAUAUGACUAUUUUACACCAUUUUAAAGACAAGACUCUUGUUAAUCUAACCACAUUGUCCGAUUUCAAAAAGGCUUUACAGCGAAAGCAAAACAUUAGAUUGUCAGGAGAGUACCCUGCCAAAAAAUAAUCACACAGCCAUUUUCAAAGCAAGCAUAUAUGUCACCAAAACCACAGCUAAAUGCAGCACUAACCUUUGAUCUUCAUCAGAUGACACUCCUAGGACAUUAUGUUAUACAAUACAUGCAUGUUUUGUUUAAUCAAGUACAUAUUUAUAUCAAAAAACAGCUUUUUACAUUAGUAUGUGAUGUUCAGAACUAGCAUACCCAUCGCAAACUUCCGGUGAAUUUACUAAAUUACUCAUGAUAAACGUUGAAAAAAAUACAUAACAAUUAUUUUAAGAAUUAUAGAUACAGAACUCCUUUAUGCAAACGCUAUGUCAGAUUUUAAAAUAGCUUUUCGGCGAAAGCACAUUUUGCAAUAUUCUGAGUACAUAGCUCAGCCAUCACAGGCUAGCUAAUUUGACACCCACCAAGUUUGGGGCUCACUAAACUCAGAAUUACUAUUAGAAAAAUUGGAUUACCUUUGCUGUUCUUCGUCAGAAUGCACUCCCAGGACUUCUACUUCAACAACAAAUAACAACAAAUAAUCCAUAGUUAUAUCCAAAUACCUCCGUUUUGUUCGUUCAGGUCACUAUCCGAAGGGUAACGCGCGAGCGGAUUUCAUGACAAUUUCAAAAUAUUCCAUUACCGUACUUAGAAGCAUGUCAAACGCUGCUUAAAAUCUAUUUUUAUGCUAUUUUUCUCAUAAAAUAGCGAUAAUAUUCCAACCGGGCAACGUUGUAUUCAUUCAAAGGCUGAAAGAAAAAAAGAGAAGUCUCGUGAACGCUCAUCUCAGUCUCACUGUCCCCAGGCUGACCACACAAACAGAGCUGCUGUACUUUGCCCAGAGACAGCAGACACCCCAUUCUACUUUCUGGCGGCUUUAGAGAGCCAAUGGAAGCCUUAGAAAGUGUCACGUUACAGCACAGAUGCUGUAUUUUCGAUAGAUGCAACAGAAGGACAACAAAUUGUCAGACAGGGCACUUCCUGUAUGGAAUCUUCUCAGGUUUUGGCCUGCCAUAUGAGUUCUGUUAUACUCAGACGCCAUUCAAACAGUUUUAGAAACUUUAGGGUGUUUUCUAUCCAAAUCUACUAAUUAUAUGCAUAUUUUCGUUUCUGGGCAAGAGUAGUAACCAGAUUAAAUUGGGUAUGUUUUUUAUCCGGCCGUGAAAAUACUGCCCCCUAGUCCCAACAGGUAAAAAAAAAAGUAUUAUUCACCUCAAAUCUGAAAUCCACAACAGAAGCUAGCCAGAAGUUAGCCAGGUGUCUGGUUAGACUAAACUCUCCUUCCAGACUCACAGCAACCAUCUCCAAUCCAAAGUUAAAUCGGCUUCCUAUUUCGCAACAAAGCAUCCUUCACUCAUGCUGCCAAACAUACCCUCGUAAAACUGACCAUCCUACCGAACUUUGGCAAUGUCAUUUACAAAAUAGCCUCCAAUACCCUACUUAUUAAAUUGGAUGCAGUCUAUCACAGUGCCAUCCGUUUUGUCACCAAAGCCCCAUAUACUACCCACCACUGCGACCUGUACACUCUUGUUAGGUGGCCCUUGCUUCAUACUCAUUGCCAAACCCACUGGCUCCAGGUCAUCUACAAGACCCUGCUAGGUAAAGUCCCCCCUUAUCUCAGCUCGCUGGUCACCAUAGCAGCACCCACUCGUAGCACGCGCUCCAGCAGGUAUAUCUCACUGGUCACCCCCAAUGCCAAUUCCUCCUUCGGCCGCCUCUCCUUCCAGUUCUCUGCUGCCAAUGACUGGAACAAACUACAAAACCUCUGAAACUGGAAACACUCAUCUCCCUCACUAGCUUUAAGCACUAGCUGUCAGAGCAGCUCACAGAUUACUGCACAUAGCCCAUCUAUAAUUUAGCCCAAACAACUACCUCUUCCCCUACUGUAUUUAUUUAUUUUGCUCCUUUGCACCCCAUUAUUUCUACUUUCUUCCACUACAAAUCUACCAUUCCAGUGUUUUAAUUGCUAUAUUGUAUGUACUUUGCCACCAUGGCCUUUUUUUGCCUUUACCUCCCUUAUCUCACCUCAUAUGCUCACAUUGUAUAUAGACUUAUUUUUCUACUGUAUUAUUGACUGUUUGUUUUACUCCAUGUGUUACUCUGUUGUAUGUGUCAAACUGCUUUGCCCUAUCUUGGCCAGGUCGCAG